UCCGCAUGCCAUGGCCCUCUCGAGCCACGAGUCCCCAGUACACGCAGCGCGUCUGCGCCUCCCUCCUCGCCCAAUGCGCUUCAUCCCCGUCAUCGAUCCAGAUAUGCUUCAGCUCCCCAAUCAGGUCAUCGAUCCGGAGGUGCUCGUCUCCCCCAAUCAGGAGCUGCUCAUGCCGAGGCCCAGCCUCACCCUUUCAAAUCUGCUCCCCGUCCAACCACCCAAGCAGUCCAGCUCCACAUCGCCACCGCCGCCCACGUCUGCUCCCCGUGCUGUUGUACCUCGACCUGCUCUUCUCCGUGAUCUGCAUCCCGACUCUGCCCUUCGACUUCCUCAACGGCAGCGGUGGAGUGGAUCGUCGCCAGGUACGUGGUGUGGCGUCGAGUGGAGGAACCUUGCAUCCACCGCCUGCUUCGCAUCUCGCCACAAACUCGCCGCAACUGCCGCUCGUUGCUCACGUCGCCACAACCGCGCUGGACACAGAGGCCGCGACUCGCUGCUCCCUGCCGCGACGAAACGUGGUGUCAGGGCGUGGGGAGUGCCGGGGCAAAAUCUGCGAAGUCAACAGGUGUCAUGAAAAGCAGGGCAGGGGGUCCUAAUCUACUGUCAUCGACGACAUUGCCACUCCCAGGUUACCUAGCUGAAUCCUGAAGAGCAUUCCUUAAUGCAUUUGGAGCAAUAGUUCGUUGCUGCACCUGUUUGAAGCAAGUAAUUGUAGAUACAAAAAGAUUCAUACAAUGGAAAAUAAUUGUUCUCGUGUUCCAUUGGCAGACAAGACUAACAUCGCCAAAGCUGAUGCUAAAGAACGUAAGAGGGAAAGGGAUAGAGCUCGAUGGCAUGCAAUGUCUCAAGAACAGAAGGAUGCAAUUAAUAAGAGACAACGUGAAUCCUAUCAUCAAAGAAAAAAGAUACAUGGAUUUGGAACUACUAAUUGUAAUGCAUGCUAACAUUUUGACAUUGCCAUGUAGGAAUUAAUUAGCAUAUCUUUUGUUAUAUAUAUAUAUGAAAAUAUUUUUGUAGAUGAUGACGCUGCAUCAAAUAAAGAAAAUGUGGAUCAAGUAGAAACGGAAGAUUGGCUCCAUAGGAAUAAUUCCUACCAGAUCAACAAUAUUGUUGAUGAGAACAAAUCGACUCAGUUACCAUGUAAUUAAAGUUUCUUAAAUAUUUUAGGUCUUAUGAAAUUAUAAUGUUACAAAACUCGAUAAAGCUAAUGAUUGUAUUUAUAUGAUUACAUUGAUAGAUGAACUAGAAAUGGAGCCUAUAGAGAAGAGCACUGUCGAUUUCACCAGUACCCUUACUCCAAAUGCUCAUAAAACAUGUGUGCAAAGUUUGUCAAAAAGUAACUACUACAGUGAGAGGUACAAAAAUAUGACGCCUGAUCAGAGGGAUGCAAGGCGUGAACGGCAAAGGUUGUAUAAUACUAAACCUAAGCGUAAGGAGGCAAUGAAAUUAUCUCUCAAAAAAUUCAAAGAGGUGAGAAAG